UACGUAGGGGGCAAGCGUUGUCCGGAAUCAUUGGGCGUAAAGCGCGUGUAGGCGGCCAGAUAAGUCCGCUGUGAAAUCUCGAGGCUCAACCUCGAGCUGUCGGUGGAAACUGUCUGGCUAGAGUCCGGAAGAGGAGAAUGGAAUUCCUGGUGUAGCGGUGAAAUGCGCAGAUAUAGGAAGAACACCCGUGGCGAAGGCGGUUCUCUGGGACGGUACUGACGCUGAGACGCGAAAGCGUGGGGAGCGAACAGG
rnacentral:rRNA from 1 species